rnacentral:ncRNA from 1 species
GCCUUAUAGAUAGAGCAAGGUUACCCGCUGAAUUUAAGCAUAUUAAUAAGCGGAGGAAAAGAAACUAACAAGGAUUCCCCUAGUAAUGGCGAAUGAAGCGGGAACA